rnacentral:rRNA from 1 species
GAUGAACGCUGGCGGCGUGCCUAAUACAUGCAAGUCGAGCGAACGGACGAGAAGCUUGCUUCUCUGAUGUUAGCGGCGGACGGGUGAGUAACACGUGGAUAACCUACCUAUAAGACUGGGAUAACUUCGGGAAACCGGAGCUAAUACCGGAUGAUAUUUUGAACCGCAUGGUUCAAAAGUGAAAGACGGUCUUGCUGUCACUUAUAGAUGGAUCCGCGCUGCAUUAGCUAGUUGGUAAGGUAACGGCUUACCAAGGCAACGAUGCAUAGCCGACGGGAGAGGGUGAUAGGCCACACUGGAGCUGGGACGCGGUCCAGACGCCUACGGGAGGCAGCAGAAGGCUAUCGUCCGCAGUGGGCGAAAGCCUGGCGGAGCAGCGCCGCGUGAGUGGUGAAGGUCUUCGGAUCGUAAUACUCUGUUAUUAGUGAAGAACAUAUGUGUAAGUAACUGUGCACAUCGUGACGGUACCUAAUCAGAAAGCCACGGCUAACUACGUG